CGGGUCAACAGAGGGAUGCAAAGCCGUGAGGCAGAGCGAACCCCCAAAAGCCGUCCCAAUUCGGAUCGCAGGCUGCAACCCGCCUGCGUGAAGUCGGAAUCGCUAGUAAUCGCGGAUCAGCAUGCCGCGGUGAAUACGUUCCCGGGCCUUGUACACACCGCCCGUCACACCAUGAGAGUCGGGAACACCCGAAGUCCGUAGCCUUAACUUUAACGGAGGGGGCGCGGCCGAAGGUGGGUUCGAUAAUUGGGGUGAAGUCGUAACAAGGUAGC
rnacentral:rRNA from 1 species